rnacentral:lncRNA from 1 species
UAGUAUCGGUAAUUAUCAAAAACUCGUGGAUCGAAUAAAAAAACCAUCUCAAGAAUAGGAUGGUGUCUAACUGUUAAAAACGGCUUCUUUUAUCUAUUUCAAAAUUAGUAAAGAAUUUUCAAACUUAAGACCAAAAAGUUUUAAGCAAAUGAAGAAUUUCAUCAGUGUAACUAUGACAAAAUGCUUUAUCACUGCAAGAAGGCAACCAAAACGAUUACCCCGUUAUCCUUGCUAUACAAUUUGGGUAUAUAUUUCGCAUCCUCUGAAAUCUCCAUUUGUGAAAUGAUGAAACUUACCUAUUUACUAUUUAGAUGAGCACACUCCAGGUGAAAGAACUAUGCAAAAGCAGAAAGCACAGUGCCCUUUAUAUUCUUCUUAAUGUGACUGUUUUUUUGGGGUUUUCAAGAGAAGAUAUCAUAAAAUAGCAUACAUAGCUGUUAAUCAAGGAUAAGAAGAAGUAAUGUUCAUCGAAAAUAAUUGAUAGAUUAGUUUAUUGAUAUUGUUAAUCAUUUGAGUAAUUUCUGAUGUUUUCGUUAUAAGGAUAUGGUUGCUUCUUUGACUCAGUAGGAUUGUUAUCUGGUUUUUAAAAUCGUUACUUGAGAAAAUCCCCUAAUUUAAGGAAUUUUUAUAUGUUUGUUGGGAUUAUAGCUGUCUUUGGCUACUGUUAACUGUUGUAAUGACAAUAGUUUUGGUUUAUCUUUCUUACUUUAGACCUUGUAGAAGCACCGGUAAAUGUCAAGCAAACUUUUCAAACUGUAAAGUGUAUACAGUCUUUAACGACAUAGAAUUAUAGCAUCCGUCAACAGCUAAAUAAAUUAUUCGUUUGUCUGUAAAAAAUAAAAUUGAUAACGAUUGCUGGAAAUUUAGAAUCAUUGGGAUAUAUUAAGGAUGUACCUUCCCACGAAGAAAACACAUUCAUGAGAUGUUUACUGAGACCUGCAAUGAUUUUUUUCAUUCCAAUACGUAAAUGUUUAUUUUUUUAUGGGCAAAAGUAUGCAUUCGUAGAUACAACUCUUUUUGGCCGUUGUCAAGCUUAACAGAUGAUACAAUGAAAAUAGUAAACAAGGUAUUCCCAAAACAGACGAUAUCUCAUUUUCCAAGAGAAAAGUAUUAACUUAAUAGCUCCAAGUUCAUCAAAUUUUUUUUUGGCGAUUGAAUAGUUGUAUAGUUUAAAGAGUUUACUCAUACUUGGCAAUGGAAAUGCAGCAUACUUGUUAUUUAGAUCUUCCCAGAUCCUCAAUUUCAAAAUCUAAACAGCUAUGGGUAAACAUAUGCCUCCUCUCUGGAUUAAUGAAUUAAAGUUUUAUAUGAAUAUACCCAUGAGAAAUAAGGUGGAUACAGCAGCAACUUUCUGCACACACUGCAUCAAUUGGGUUUUGGAACGAAACCAAGGAAUCAAUAUAUAAGUUUGAAGCACAUGAAGGCAUAAAAAAAAUUUCGUCUUGAGUUCGAUCUUUAGAGGUGAAGUCAAAGUAAAAACUUGCGAACCCAGCAAAUGCCAAAGAUGGAGGGUUUAAACUUCAAUAGGUUCAUCCAUCAGAGAGAUGUUAUGAAUUUCUGAUUUAUUUCGUUCAAUGGCAGCUAAUUCUGCCUUUUUUAUUGUACCAGAUACACGAACCACGCGAAUUAUUACAGGCUUGCCAUAUAAUUCCCUUAUUAAAACUAAUGCGGCCCAUGCCAAACGAAAAUGCUGUCUUGAGACCCGCAGAAUGCCAGUAGAUGUAUUAGGUGAAAAAUAUUUUACAGUUAGACUAGAUGCAACCUUUCCAAUACCAACAUCACCGAAAUUUUCUGCAACCAUGGUUCUAAUUAUUUUAGAAAGACUAGACGUAGUUAUAGAACUAUCAGAAGGGAUAGUAGGAUAGUCAAAAAACUCUUUUGCUUCAGGAUAUAAUACUUCAAAAAGUAAAUAUCGGGAUUUGAAGCGAACCAUAGUUUUACGAUAUAUAUAUUUUUUGUAGUUUAAUCAGCGAUUUUGAUUGAAAUAUGACCUUUGAGACAAAUAAUAAUAAUAAAUUAUCGUUAUGCUAUAACAAGAAUAAAUAAUGCUGGAAAUGGAAUUGCCCAAAAAUGGAUCGUAGUGGGUAUGAACGUUGCUACUUAUUGCACACCGGUUAGAGAAAUGUAACUUGCUCAACGAAUAAAUUUCUCAGAAAACAGUUUAUAGAGACGUCUGUGUUAUAAUUUAUUGCUUUUAAGAUUUAAUGGAAUAGAAAUUUAAAGAAAAAAUCAUAUUAUCUAACAGGUGUUUACAAUGAACGAUUAGAAUUAGUCGUAAAUUUCAAUAUGUUUAAUUGCUUUUGCUACAUUGCCAUAGCGGUAGAUAAUUUGUUUAAGAUUAAGUAAAUGGUAUUUGGUUAUAAUUAGACUAGAAGACAUGCAAAUUCUAAAUGCACGAUAAUCAUGCUUACG